AGAGUUUGAUCAUGGCUCAGGAUGAACGCUAGCUACAGGCUUAACACAUGCAAGUCGAGGGGAAACGACAUCGAAAGCUUGCUUUUGAUGGGCGUCGACCGGCGCACGGGUGAGUAACGCGUAUCCAACCUGCCCACCACUUGGGGAUAACCUUGCGAAAGUAAGACUAAUACCCAAAUGACGUCUCUAGAAGACAUCUGAAAGAGAUUAAAAGAUUUAUCGGUGAUGGAUGGGGAUGCGUCUGAUUAGCUUGUUGGCGGGGUAACGCCACAAGGCGACGAUCAGUAGGGGUUCUGAGAGAAGGUCCCCCANAUUGGAACUGAGACACGGUCCAAACUCCUACGGGAGCA
rnacentral:rRNA from 1 species